rnacentral:piRNA from 1 species
UAGGCCUGGAGCAAGGGAGCAGGGUCU